AUUUAUUAUUGUUGUUGUUACCAUUAUUAUUAUUUGAAAUCUCCUCUACCCUAGAAUUGAGCUUCUUGAGAGUAAGAACUCCGGUUCGUCGUCGUCACCCACCGCUUACCGCAGUGCCGAGGGUUCGCCAGGCGCUAGCAGUUUGCUGAAGAGAGUGGGUGUUUAUAGUGAAAAGAGAAGUGAGUUGGAAAUUAGAAAACCUGGCUUCGCGCGCCUCCCUCGCCAUCUGCCGCCUGGCACGACGCCUCUUGAGGUCUCCCCUACUAGGCCGAGGCUCUGCUCGCCGUUCUGGAAGGUGUUGAGAAGAGUGUAGCGAUAUAGUUCAACAUUUUCCUGAGCCACCAUUUCCCUCUACUUAGGACCUGACUUGAUAUUUGAGAAAAGCUCUACUAUGGAAUGAAAAAGCAGGAAUGAAUGGCCUCCAAAUCUUUUUGUCAGGUAACUAUGCUUACUCUGUCUUCGUGCUUUGCAUCUAUUUAAAAUUUAGAGCAUAUUAUUAAAAAUAAUCAGACUGACAAAUCUGAGAGCUGUUUGUUGGUAAUUUUUCAAAAUAACAUAAGAUCUGGAAUAUGAAGACUAAGAACCAAAAUCCUGACUAUGUCAUUAACCAGAUGCCUGAUCUUGGUUCAGUCACUUCAUCAUUGGUCCCAUUUACUCCUCAAUAAAGUAUCUCUUGCCCUAUCUAAUUCACAGGGCUGUUUUAACAGUCAAUGGAAGUACUUUUUAAACUUUAAAGCACUAUAUAAAUAUUAGUAUUUUAUUAUUCUAAUUUCUGUUAGAAGAUCACAUGCAAAGCUUCUAAAGAUCUGCUAUCCACCUCACAUUAAAGAGCAUGGUUAAGAAAAUAUAGAGAAAGAGGCUAGGGAUAGUGCUAGAAAAAUAAAACUCAGUUUUGUCCUUAAGUGAAGGUGAUCUUUAUUUCUUGGUAAUUUCUCUACAGAACCUUUCUUUCCUGUUGUCCAAAAUUAGCAAAAUAAAUAUUAAUAAGAGGUCAGCAUGCCAGCUGACACUGUUGAAUAAAGCAGUAGAAAUGGAAGUUCGUACAUGCUCUUCUCAAUCAGAAAGUCUUAAAAGUUAAAGGAGGAGGGUGACUCAGAGCAAACAGUCAAUGGAGAUUAUUCUUAUUUGAUGUUUCCCUAAUAAACAGAAGUCAUUUCACCUAGUGCUUAAACCAAGAGCUCAAAGUAGGCAUUCCUACUACAGAGUUAAAGGGCAAUGACUACUAAUAGGCAAUACAAGGUUUGCAUGACAUCCUACUGAGAGAUGUCUGUCUAGCCAGUUUCUCAAAUUAAUCCUCCCCUACCACUUUAAGGGUGUAUUAGUUUAACUGGAUCCAAGUUCCCUUAAUUAAGCUUCUAAGCAACACUGCAGUGUAUUUUAAUGAUGUAGAACAGUGCUAUCUAAUACAAAUAUAAUGUAAGCCAUUUAUGUAAUCUUAAAUGUUCUAGUAGCCACAUAGAAAAAGUGAGAAAAGAUAGGUAAAAUUAAUUUUUAAAUAAUAUGUUUAAUCCAAUAUAUCAAAAAUAUUAUUUCAAUAUAAAAUCCA